rnacentral:rRNA from 1 species
AUGCAGACCGCUAGCCAGAGGACGCCGGGAUUGACCAUGACGGAUCAUGCAUACCCAGUCGUUUUAGACGACUAUCCAGACUUAUCACCAACAGAAGUGUACGCAUGCUACUCUACUUUCUGGCUUGAUAUUCAAAGGCUCUUCCCUCGUCUCGGAGGAGAGAAUUAUAACAACGUGUUGCUACUUGCUAGUGGUUGCCGUCUAAAUCAGUCUGAUUUAGACGGUUCCACAAAGAUGUUCAGACUUCAGCGUCGAUGGGGAGACAAUUUUUCAGUAUCUAGGAAGAAAAUUGAACCUGUUGGACCACUUUCUCUUCGAUUGCACACGUGGAUGGUGAUGUGUCUCUUGCUUGCGACUUAG